rnacentral:ncRNA from 1 species
GGAAGCACUUAGAACCCCCUCGGGCGUUGUGUUAAUAGUUGCGCUUUUGGCCGAGCGCGACGGUUAGUGAAUC